rnacentral:rRNA from 1 species
AUGUCAUCAACAACACCCUCGACUUCAGCUAUCUCCUCCACCUUCACAGCGAGUAGUCUGGCGAGGUCACCUAUGGCGAUGUGGAUAAGGCCUAGGUGUGCCGAAGAAAACAGUGGCCACCACCUCCUCUCCCAGCGCGAGAUUGUGAAGAAGGGGGAGCGUCAGGGCAUCCAUCCUUGUCCUGGGCAGCGGGUAGGCUACAACUUCCAUCUCGCCGUCCUCAACCACUUUCCUCAUGACCACCGCGCCCAUGACGAUGAGCAGGGGGCUGCCCUUGACAUAGAUCUAGGAGGGCCGCUACGGCCGCCCCAUCGCGGAACGGAGGAGGCUACACAUGGGGAGGGGGAGCCGGAGAGGGUGGGGGUGGUGGCGGAGCGAGAGAGGGUGGGAGACGGAGGUGGAGCAGGAGAUGGUUGGCGCGGCGGCGCUGGAGAUCGGCAGCCGCGCGUGGUGGGAGGCUGGACAUGGAUCUGA